GCCUGGGUGGCUCAGUCGGUUAAGCGUCCGACUUCGGCUCAGGUCAUGAUCUCGUGGUCCGUGGGUUCGAGCCCCACGUUGGGCU
rnacentral:tRNA from 1 species